rnacentral:rRNA from 1 species
AGUGAACGCUGGCGGCAGGCCUAACACAUGCAAGUCGAACGGCAGCACAGGGGAGCUUGCUCCCUGGGUGGCGAGUGGCGGACGGGUGAGGAAUACAUCGGAAUCUACCCUUUCGUGUGGGAUAACGUAGGGAAACUUACGCUAAUACCGCAUACGAUCUGAGGAUGAAAGCAGGGGACCGCAAGGCCUUGCGCGAUUGGAUGAGCCGAUGUCCGAUUAGCUAGUUGGCGGGGUAAAGGCCCACCAAGGCGACGAUCGGUAGCUGGUCUGAGAGGAUGAUCAGCCACACUGGAACUGAGACACGGUCCAGACUCCUACGGGAGGCAGCAGUGGGGAAUAUUGGACAAUGGGCGCAAGCCUGAUCCAGCCAUGCCGCGUGUGUGAAGAAGGCCUUCGGGUUGUAAAGCACUUUUGUUGGGAAAGAAAUCCUGUCGGCUAAUACCCGGCGGGGAUGACGGUACCCAAAGAAUAAGCACCGGCUAACUUCGUGCCAGCAGCCGCCGUAAAAC